rnacentral:rRNA from 1 species
AUACGUAGGUGACAAGCGUUAUCCGGAUUUACUGGGUGUAAAGGGCGUGUAGGCGGUUUAGCAAGUCAGAAGUGAAAUUCCCGGGCUUAACUUGGGCGCUGCUUCUGAAACUGCUUUACUUGAGUGCUGGAGAGGAUAGUGGAAUUCCUAGCGUAGCGGUCAAAUGCGCAGAUAUUAGGAGGAACACCGGUGGCGAAGGCGGCUAUCUGGACAGUAACUGACGCUGAGGCGCGAAAGCACGGGGAGCAAACAGGAUUAGAUACCCUGGUAGUCCACACUGUAAACGAUGAAUGCUAGGUGUAGGGGGUAUCGACCCCUUCUGUGCCGCAGUCAACACAAUAAGCAUUCCGCCUGGGGAGUACGGCCGCAAGGUUGAAACUCAAAUGAAUUGACGGGG